AUCAUUACCGAGUGAGGGCCUCCGGGCUCGACCUCCAACCCCAUUGCUGUCCGACCACUGUUGCCUCGGGGGCGACCCGGCCUUCGGGCGGCGGGGCCCCCGGUGGACCAUUAAACUCUGCAUCUUUGACGUCUGAGUACAAAUUGAAUCAAUCAAAACUUUCAACAACGGAUCUCUUGGUUCUGGCAUCGAUGAAGAACGCAGCGAAAUGCGAUAAGUAAUGUGAAUUGCAGAAUUCAGUGAAUCAUCGAAUCUUUGAACGCACAUUGCGCCCCUUGGCAUUCCGAGGGGCAUGCCUGUUCGAGCGUCAUUUCACCACUCAAGCCUGGCUUGGUAUUGGGCGUCGCGUCCGCCGCGCGCCUCAAAGUCUCCGGCUGGCCCUCAAUCGUGUCGCAGCGUCGUGAUUAGAUACCCGCUUCGAAUUCCACGUGAGUGCGCCAUGGGCCGUUAAACACUUUCUACAGGUUGACCUCGGAUCAGG
rnacentral:rRNA from 1 species